UCGAACCGCCCUAAUGUUCAUAUAUGUUUGAAUGUUAUUUUUAAAAUUUUUGGUAUAGUUUCAGUAAACGUCGAUUGUAAACUUCGAUUGUAAACGAUCGAAGCCAUAUGCCUGAAUAAAACACUGAGUAUUAUUCAGAAAGUCCCUCGCUCGACUCGCGUUCGCGUAAUACUGCCGUUUUCGAAGUCUGCUUUUGAGAGGAGUUAGGCUGGUGAUUCUAUUAGGGAUGGGAAACCUAUCGAUAAUUAUCGAUUAUUUCGAUAGUUGCCCGCUAUCGAUAGAAUCGUUAAGCUUUUAGCGUUACCGAUAGUUAUCGAUAAUCAUCUCGCAUGCACCCUACGGACCCAUCCGCAGCGAUGCCAAAACAGCUAAGCAAAUUAACCUUACCAGCGCUGAAAACGAUUCUGAUGCCUGUUCGCAAUUACACGUAAUCCCCUUCAAAACUGCACGAAUAUUUCAAUUUUACUUUAUCUCACGCAAAACCCAAACAAAUAUCAACAACGAUGACAGGACAAUUCGGGACUACGAAGCUGCUGAUAUUUGUUUGGUUUUUCGCAUAAGAGAGUAAAGGAAAGAAAUAUUUUUGCUUUUGUCAACACGCAUACUCUGACAAUCUAUACGAGAGUUUACGGGAGUGUGAGCAGUCUCUAAAAUCUUUUUGAGUCUAGUCGCGAAUUGUUUGAAAAUUAAGAAAUAUUCAUGUUCGCUCACUUUAACUCGUAAUUUCGCGGUGAUUCUAAUCUUCUUAAAGUUGGCAGCAGUACGACAAAGUUGUUGUAUGUAACGAAAGCAACUUUUUUCUUUGAAAAAUGUCGCAGAAUACGUAAGUUUUAUAAUUAAAUGUUUUAUUAAAUUGAAUUAAUAUUAUAGUAAAUACCACAACGUUAUGAUGGUGAAUAUUUUUUUUCGCAGAGCCCAAAAAAGAACGAAGAGGUCAUUUGUAUGGGGCUUCUUCGAAAAAAUUAACAAAGGUAAUAGUAAUGUAUUUCGUUGCAAAGUUGCUGGAUGUAAAACAGAGCUCUCAUGUAGUGGAAACACUACUAACCGACGAUAUCAUUUGCAAUCGCAUCACCCGGUUGAAUUACGUGAAGCACAAUCUGGAAAUCGAAUGUCAUCUGAUUCAAGUUUUAACGAUGAUGAGGGAGACAAUGCGGAAGGAAUGCAUCACCAAAAACAAACAUCGAUGACAAAAUAAAUCAAGCAAAGCGGCAUUUCGUACAAUCCAGCUUCUCAAAAAAAAAAAAUGAAUUGGACAAAGCAUUAGUUCGCUUUAUAGUGAAAGAUAUACAACCGUUGGCCGUAGUUGAUGACGACGGGUUCGCCGAGUUCGUUCAUGCUCUCGAUCCGCGGUGUUGUUUACCGAGCAGGAGACAUCUACGAGACGUUUUGUUAGAGCAAGCGUAUCAGAAAACUGUACAACAUAUAGAUUUAUUGCCCUAACAUACGAUGGCUGGACUAGCCGUACAACACAAGGAUACUUGGUGGUAACUGGACAUUUUAUUUUCGAGGAAAAGCUUUCAACUGCGACAUUAGGUGUGAUACCAAUACCUUCGCGUUCGACGAGUAAAAAUUUGAAGGAAUUGAUUUUCUCAGUGCUCAAGCGGUUUCCGAGUGUAAGCGUCGUAUGCGCCGUAACAGACAGCGGCAGUAACAUGAUUUCCGCAUGUGAUUUAAUGAAGGUAAAAAAUUUUUUUGACAAAAAUACAAAUCUGAAUUAGUUGAUGUUAAGGGCGAAUCGUUGUCUUGCUUUUCUAUCUAGUUUCGCCCUAAUAACGAAGUAAUCCGGAAUUGUUUAGUUCAUGUUUUGAGGAAAUUCGAGGUAAAAAUGUUUCGUCAGAGCUGGGAACGUGCCGUCACUCAUACUAGCACUGAAGUAUUAUUUAACAAUAUUAGCAUUACACACUAGUAUACUAUUUUAUUCUGAGUUCUAAUUUUCACCUCGGUAUUAGUAAUGAAUUCUUAUUUUGAAUUGCAAUUUAGUUUAAUUGGUGUUAUAUUGCUUUUAUUUAUUAGUAUUAGUAUUUUUGUUUUUAUUAGCGGCGAGCUCCGAGAUAAAUACUCUUCAGAAUCGCUCUCAACCCGGACCGUAACAGAUAUUUUUGAAUGUCAUAUAUUCAGAUGUUGAAAUCACAGUUGGUUGGUAUUUUGUAAUUUCACAAUGUAAGGCUACGGCCACAGUGAGGUUUGACAAAUCACGUAAUGCCGCGUUACCAACCUCCGUACAUUUGAGCAAACUCAGUAUGCCCCAGUAAACGCGAUCAUCCCUGUCACGUUUACUGUGGUAUGCUUGGUUACUGUAGUAUACUUAGGUUACCCCGAGGACGAGACCGUUUCUGAAAUAUCUCUCGAAUCUGACUUGCUUUAAGUUUUUCCGACACAAGUUCACUGGAGAGAAAGAGAUUCCGAUAGGGCCCACUUCCGCGGGAAAACGCGGUAUUCAGAAUGGGUCCAGGAUAAAUGAAUUUACCACAUGGACCUCCAAUGAACUUUUUCAAAUAAUCUUGAAGUUGGACACGUCGCAACCGAGGUUUUGAAAACCAAAGAUAAGUAUCCGCUUUCCCGGAAAAUUAUUCACCAGCCAAGUUUCACUCGCGUUUUCUAAUACAACAUUUUGCUCGCCUUGUCUUCUGUAAUAGAGGCUAUUAUAGUUGUUAUUGAAAUAGUGACUCUACUUUUUAUUGACUACAUGAACAAUUCCAGAUGAGACACAUGCCUUGUGCCGCCCACAAAAUUCAGAGAAUUGUAAUGGUUGGAAUAUCGAAAACAGAACGAUCCUUUUCUUCAAAAGAAACUGAGGAUUUUGUUGAAAAUUUUUUCUGCGAUGAUAACGAUAAUGUUCAAAACUGCGAUGUCUCCGUUUAUAAUGUUAUUGUCAAAUGCAAGCGAAUCGCAACAUUUUUCCAUCAUAACUCCUCAGCAAACCGAAGCCUUUAGCAAGAAUUGCAUAACGCCAAGCGUCAGCUAGCCAAAAUUAGUCAGCCGAACAACACACGUUGGAAUUCCGUAUACUAUAUGCUUGAGAGCAUAUGGAAAAUCGGAGAAGCACUAUUUGCCGUUCUAUCGAAAUGUGGCAAGUGGGAGUUGGACCUUACACCUGCCGAAAAACACCUUAUACCACAAACUCUAGCCAUAUUAAAACCAUUCGUCAAGGCCACCACCAAGUUAAGCGGUGAUUCUUAUCCUACUGUAAACCUUAUUAUAACCACAACCAAACAAAUUCUUAUGGAACUGAACAGUUUACUAAGUUUGUCAGACAAUGAGGUAGUAGAAGGAGAAACGACAGUAUUUGAAGUAUCAGAGAACAACGAAGACGCUAAGAUAGUCAUCGACAGCCAGGAGGCAAUUUGUUUUCUAAAGCAACUGGUUAGUUCAACGAGAGAAAAAAUGCUGGAGUAUGAAACUCGAACAGCAUCAGAGUAAGUUUGCGAGGUUUUGGUAACGUUUUAGGUCACGUAGGCAAACUAAUUAUUAAUUAAAUCAUUUAAUUAGUUCUUAAUUAGGUUAAGUUGUUUUAUGUUAUUUAUUUUUUAAGUGUUGAGUAUUUGUAAUAAUUGUUUUUGAAUGUUUAAUCAAUAUGCCAAUCCUAUUUUUUUUUCUUUUUACACAGAUUAAGUACAAGACUAGAUCCGCGCUUUAAAAAACAUGGAUUUAUAUCUGAAUCUAACUACCGCAUGAUGGCUGAGAAAUUAAAAGAAGAACUAAAAACAGUAAUGGCUACACAAAAUAGAACACACAUUGAAUGUUCAUCAUCAAUUGAACCCGUGCCGUGUGUCUCAAAAAGAGGCAAAAACUUGUUACGUACAGACUAAGUGUUAUUUCAAUGUUUUACUUGUUCAUAGCAGAGUACACUUUUUUGAAUAACAUUACGUUCACAAGACAAGAUCGCUCGAUCCACUCAAUAGCACAGGCAAUCGUUCAUUUAAAUAAAUACCUGGAAGAUCCCAUAACAAAUGAAACCACCGAUGUGCUCUCCUUUUGGACCAAUUAUACACCCAACGCAAACGGGGAAUAUUUUAUAACUUUUGGGCAAUUUUUUAUUACUUUUUGUGUCUUAUGACUGCGCAUUAUACACAAAAAGUAACAAACAAAAAGUAAUAAAAAUUAUGACGGCCACACGCUUGUAUGUGUUUCUGCAGGAGAACAUACAGCCAAGCACCGCAAUGCAUGUGUUGGCAAGACUUCACUCGCUGCAUUUGUAUUGAUGCAACGAUCUGGUUCAUUUUUGUCUCCCUUCAUCCACACAUAAUCAGAAUCUCAACCGUCAACCUCAAAUGUCCAAUUAGAAACACUUUCGUUUCGUCCCCCAGUGUUUACUUGAAAUGGAAAUAUGUAAUACCGUCUGACCAGAGUUGCCGAAGUUGCGAAUAUUGUUCUGGAUGGGCACGAGUUUUGUAUAUUCAAACAGGUCCAAAUGAGUUUCCAUGAACCAAUGAUUAUGUGCUGUAAAUAGCUGGCAAGAAAGCGAAUGUUUUUAUUUUUCUCUAACGCAGUUUACAGAUCGUGAUGUCAUUUUAAGGCGCAUUUCAAGUCUUUGAAAUCAUCAACGUUUGCAUACUCUAUGACGGGAAAAAUGUUGCUUGGCAGCUCUUGUCAUAUUUUUCCGCUACUCCGUAUGCAUACAACAAGCGAACUAAUACACGCCCACCGGAUGAAUUGGAGAUUGAAAAAACUUGUAACAUGUGCAACUUAUGCGACGGUGUGUGAUUUUUUUUUUGACUUGAGGUGGAAAGGGAGCAUUUUUCGACAGAAAAAACGUUGCAUGUGGUUGAAACGACCAUUAUAAGAUAGUCGUACUCUCAUAAAAAGCAAAGCCUUGGUGCUACAUUCCGAUUCGGAACUUGACCUUCUGUUUACUAUACACAGACUUCGCAGCCAACCGUUAAGUGUACAGGACAAUUGCGGGGCUAGCGCUACGAUCCUACUGACACUAACAGUCUCUCCCGAGUCAAGACUCGAACCUGCGAUGACUGGCUUGUUAGGCCAGCAUCGUACCUCGAGACCAGCUGGGGAGACAGUCGUACUCUCAUAACACGUGCUAAAUAUAUGACAGUAUGUGUUGUUACUUGACUGGGGAAGAAUUUUGUUGCUUUUUAAGUAAUGGAUUUGUUACCUAAAAGGUAAUUUUGCGCUAUUGCUUCUAAAGUAAUAAGGAAAAGUUUUGCGUGUACAGCUUGCGAAGCACUGCAAUUGCUCUACGUUUCAUGAUAAUACCCGCAUUGUCCGUUCCCUCCGAGAGGGUAAAUUCGACCGCAGGUAACACAAUUACUGAUAAAAGAGCGAGAUUGACUCCAACUCUUGCAGAACAGCUAGUUUUUCUUAAUGAAAACUUCAAAUUUUUGCAAAUGUAGUGCACUGUAAUAAGAAAUUUUAUAAAUAACACACUCACACUGACACAUACAUACACACGCAUACAUACAUACACGCCUACACACUGACACACACCGACAUUUCUGACACACACACACACACACCGACACUUCUGACACACUCACACACACCGACACUUCUGACACACUCACACACACCGACACUUCUGACACACUCACACACACCGACACACACACGAGAAAUUGAAUACAUCAUAUGUAAUGUAAUUUAGUACAUUAUAUGUAGUUAGAGGGAGAGUUGUUUUAUAACUGUUUUAAUGAAUAGAUUACUUAUUAAUCUUACUUACUUAUUACUUAUUAAUCUCACUUAUGUCUUAUAAUUAUGAGUUAAAAAGUUGUACUUGUGUACGUUGAGACGAAUCCCAAACUACGAAAUAUACAUGUUAAACUGUUAUUCAAAGUAUUCUCUUAAUAUUUGAUUACAUUAACUUCUCAAUACUUUAGGUUCACGCUUUAAACUCCAGUUUUAUACAAGACAGUGACAAAUCCAUUCACCAAGUUGAAAAAAGCUAUUAAAACACAAAUCGCAAUGAAACAAAUGGAACGUUCUGCGUAUCGGAUUACUGUUGAGAAUUUUUUAUCCAAUAAACUUUGAAAUCGUCUCCUCUUGCUUUGGAAGUCAUCAUUGUUGCCACAAUCUUUGUUUAUCCAGUUGAAAUUAUUUGCGAUGCCACUAAAAGCAUUGUCCUGUUGCUGUGGUCCACCGCCGCUUUCUAUUUGUUGGAUGAUCUGUUGUUGUGCCUCGGCGACUCUAAUCCUAAUGCAUUCCGCCCAAAUUGUUUUUCCUCCACCAUUGUCAUUUCACGUUCUACAAUAUUCUGCUUGUAAAGUCCAUGCAUCGAGGCAUACUUUGGCCAUUUUACGCUUAAAAGAACCAAUUUCUGCAAGACGUAAACCUUUUUCGGUUUCUGAAAGACCAGCGUACACAUAUUAUGUUUAUACUGAACGUUUGUUUUUUUUUCUGCAACUGUUUCUAGCUG